CCUUACGGCCAUACCACGCUGUUUGUGCCCAAUCUCGGAAGCUAAGCAGGGUCGAGCCUGGUUAGUACUUGGAUAGGAGACCGCCUGGGAAUACCAGGUGCUGUAAGCA
rnacentral:rRNA from 1 species